GCACAGAAACUUGUUGCUACAUGGUUCGUGGAAAUGGUUGGUGGAUUCAUUUGCAUCUUUUCUGGAGUUUUAGAUGCAUACACAAAGCUCAGAUACCUUUCAUACGUUAUGGAUAUCUCCACAGCAACAGUAGAUUAUCUUGAUUUGGUGCACGACAUUCUGCUGCCCGUGGUAAUCAAAGACAAAAGUAAGCACACAUUGAGUCACUAAGAGGCCAGUUUUCUGGGAGAAGUUUCUGUUUCUGUUCAAAUUGAGCAGAUACUCACUCUGGUCUUCGAGAAUUUCAAGUAACUUGAUGAAUCAUCGAUGUCGGGUAUUAAAGAUGUAUUCGGACCUGCAACAGGAUUGGCUGCACCUGCACUUGAUCCAGCUUUGUAGCUCUACAAAUGGUUGCAUGCUAUUCUUUCCCCGAGAUUGCUACGAGAAAAAGGUCAAUCAGGCACUUGUUUGAAAUUGAUGAGUUCUUUUCGACUAAUAACGAAAACAUGUUAUUGGAUCCCGUGGCUGUCUCCACAGCAUAUAUAAAGGAAA